UACGAACUGUGCGAACGUUAAUCGGAAUCACUGGGCUUACAGGGUGCGUAGGCGGCUCAACAAGUCAGGUGUGAAAGCCCCCGGCUCAACCGGGGAACUGCGCUUGAAACUGUUAGGCUCGAGUCAGCUAGAGGUACACGGAACUUCCGGUGGAGCGGUGAAAUGUGUUGAUAUUGGAAGGAACACCGGAGGCGAAAGCGGUGUACUGGGGCUGGUCUGACGCUGAGGCACGAAAGCCAGGGGAGCGAACGGG
rnacentral:rRNA from 1 species